GGUUGCAAGUUUGAGGCCAUAGCAGAAGUGCUUACAGCAUGGCCCCGUCAGAUUCCAACAGAUCUGUGAAUUCUGCU
rnacentral:lncRNA from 1 species